GCGGCGAGUGGCGAACGGGUGAGUAAUACAUCGGAACGUGCCCAAUCGUGGGGGAUAACGCCGCGAAAGCUGUGCUAAUACCGCAUACGAUCUACGGAUGAAAGCAGGGGAUCGCAAGACCUUGCGCGAAUGGAGCGGCCGAUGGCAGAUUAGGUAGUUGGUGAGGUAAAGGCUCACCAAGCCUUCGAUCUGUAGCUGGUCUGAGAGGACGACCAGCCACACUGGGACUGAGACACGGCCCAGACUCCUACGGGAGGCAGCAGUGGGGAAUUUUGGACAAUGGGCGAAAGCCUGAUCCAGCCAUGCCGCGUGCAGGAUGAAGGCCUUCGGGUUGUAAACUGCUUUUGUACGGAACGAAACGGCCUUUUCUAAUAAAGAGGGCUAAUGACGGUACCGUAAGAAUAAGCACCGGCUAACUACGUGCCAGCAGCCGCGGUAAUACGUAGGGUGCAAGCGUUAAUCGGAAUUACUGGGCGUAAAGCGUGCGCAGGCGGUUAUGUAAGACAGUUGUGAAAUCCCCGGGCUCAACCUGGGAACUGCAUCUGUGACUG
rnacentral:rRNA from 1 species